UCCAAUGUUGUGCCAUAGCUCAGUGGUGGAGCAUCUGCUUUGCGUGCAGAAGGUCUCGGGUUCAAUACCUGGCACCUCUAGGAA